GCCGGCCUUGCUCAAUUGGUAGAGCAACUGACUUGUAAUCAGUAGGUUGGGGGUUCAAGUCCUCUGGCCGGCACCA
rnacentral:tRNA from 1 species